GAGCUCAUUGGUCAUCAUAACGGAGUCUAUUGAAAGUCCUCAGCAGGUGGUGUGACGAUGUGACCAGCUCUGGCCAAGGAGCUGUAAGCAGAAGUGUCUUGCAGCAGCUCCUGUAAAUCUUAAAAGACAGCUGGUGCAUGUCUUUUUUUCCUUUUUUUUUUUUCCCCUUUCUCCUUCCUGCUGCGCCGAAUAUGGAUAUGGUGAGUGAAUCUAGAGCAGUCGUUUGGAGGUAUGAAGAGAUCCUGGAAAUAGAGGCCAUGUGUAUUGAAACAAAGACUGAACAACUCCAAGUUCCUGAAGACUUCAUUUCACCAACCUAGAACCUCCUUGUUCAUCACAGUGGCCGAACCAUUUUACGUUUUCACCAGCAACGAAGGAGGGUUCCUGUUGCUCUACCAUUUGGUACUGUCCGUGUUUUGGAUAUUAACCAUCCUAAUAGCCUUUGCAUGGAUGAUUGUCUGUCCUCUGUUGGGCCCCUUCUGAAGAGUUGGAGUUGGACUCUGAACACCUCAAGAGUGGGAGAUUGGUCUUGUUAAUCAGAGAAGCUCCAGGUCUAGCCUAGUACCUGGCACAUGCUUUAUACAAUUAUUUCCAAAUCUUCCAAACUGACAGUGAGGGAGAGUAAUUUGAAAGGACUGCUCAACUCACAUCAUUUGAAGAUUUGCACCAUAGCUGCAUUUUUCCAAUUUCCUGGCAUCUAUUCUGCUCUCCUGGACUUUUCAAAAACAAUUGUAAGUGGAUGAAUAAAUAUAAUAACUGAUUCCAUUGAUACUCUUGGACCAUCCUUUGGACUUUCUUCUUUUGGACAUUUUACAGUUUAAAAUGUAUUUAGCAUCUAUCGAUGUUUCCAAAAGAAGGACUCAAAGUACACACUGUCAAAGAUCUCAUGGAUCUAAUUAAGGAUAGGGAACAUGUACAGAGUCAUACGAUGUCUCUACACAGAGGGGAUAAUUUCUGAAAGAAAGAAGAAAGUUAGCAAAUUCCUUAAUCACCCUUAUGAUUAUGACUAUGCAAUUGAAUUUGUCUACUUCAUCAGCUUUGGGAAUAAAAUAAGGCCGUACACUUUUCA